UACGUAGGGUGCAAGCGUUAAUCGGAAUUACUGGGCGUAAAGCGUGCGCAGGCGGUUUUGUAAGUCUGACGUGAAAUCCCCGGGCUCAACCUGGGAAUUGCGUUGGAGACUGCAAGGCUAGAAUCUGGCAGAGGGGGGUAGAAUUCCACGUGUAGCAGUGAAAUGCGUAGAGAUGUGGAGGAACACCGAUGGCGAAGGCAGCGCACUGGGUCAAGAUUGACGCUCA
rnacentral:rRNA from 1 species